CUACUUAUGAGGAAGCGAGGGUCAAACUGCCAGAGCCUGAAAGAUUCACGGAUUUGACUGAUUGAGAAACCAGCCACAGAGACACAAACGGAGAACAAUGAAGAGGUGUCACAUUCAAGAUGAUGCGGAUAGUGAAGAUGAGAUGUCGGGAGCAUCUACUUUACCUAGACCUCCAGAAAUGGCCACUGCAAAGAAGCUGUCACCCUCAAUCCUACAAUGGCGGGCGGAUGGACAGACAAACGGACAAAGAAACCCCAACGAUUACUUUACCUCUGCUGGCGGAGCGGACAAAGUUUUACAUCAGAAGAUGACAAGAAUGCAGUAAGAAGAAAUCCAUUGACAGCCACAGCUACAGACCAGGAUAUUGAGCAGUGGAUUCGAAGGUGGCUCCA